rnacentral:rRNA from 1 species
UGGCGGCGUGCCUAACACAUGCAAGUCGAGCGGUAACAGGUGUAGCAAUACAUGCUGACGAGCGGCGAACGGGUGAGUAAUGCUUCGGAAUCUGCCCAAUGGUGGGGAAUAACCAGCCGAAAGGUUGGCUAAUACCGCAUAAGUCCUACGGGGGAAAGCAGGGGAUCGCAAGACCUUGCGCCGAUGGAUGAGCCGAAGUCGGAUUAGCUAGUUGGUAGGGUAACGGCCUACCAAGGCGACGAUCCGUAGCUGGUCUGAGAGGACGACCAGCCACACUGGGACUGAGACACGGCCCAGACUCCUACGGGAGGCAGCAGUGGGGAAUAUUGGACAAUGGGGGAAACCCUGAUCCAGCGACGCCGCGUGUGUGAAGAAGGCCUGCGGGUUGUAAAGCACUUUUAGUGGGGAUGAAAAGCUCAGGGCUAACACCUCUGGGUCUUGACCUAACCCAAAGAAAAAGCACCGGCUAACUCUGUGCCAGCAGCCGCGGUAAUACAGAGGGUGCGAGCGUUAAUCGGAAUUACUGGGCGUAAAGCGUGCGUAGACGGUUAUGUAAGUCGGGUGUGAAA